rnacentral:rRNA from 1 species
GACAGAGGUGCCAAGCGUUAGGCGGAAUCACUGGGCUUAAAGCGUGUGUAGGCGGAUCGUUAAGUACCUUGUGAAAUCCCACGGCUCAACCGUGGGACUGCUGGGUAUACUGGCGAUCUUGAGCCACCUAGGGGCGAGCGGAACAAGCGGUGGAGCGGUGAAAUGCGUAGAUAUCGCUUGGAACGCCAAUGGUGAAAACAGCUCGCUGGGGGUGUGCUGACGCUGAGACACGAAAGCCAGGGGAGCGAACGGG